rnacentral:rRNA from 1 species
UCGAGGGGUAGUAUAGCAAUAUAUGAGACCGGCGCACGGGUGCGUAACGCGUAUGCAACCUACCUUUUACAGGGGAAUAGCCCAGAGAAAUUUGGAUUAAUGCCCCAUGGUAUAUUUAAGUGGCAUCACUUGAUUAUUAAAGUUCCAACGGUAAAAGAUGGGCAUGCGUCCUAUUAGCUAGAUGGUAAGGUAACGGCUUACCAUGGCAACGAUAGGUAGGGGUCCUGAGAGGGAGAUCCCCCACACUGGUACUGAGACACGGACCAGACUCCUACGGGAGGCAGCAGUGAGGAAUAUUGGACAAUGGGCGCAAGCCUGAUCCAGCCAUGCCGCGUGCAGGAAGACGGUCCUAUGGAUUGUAAACUGCUUUUGUACGGGAAGAAACACUCCUACGUGUAGGAGCUUGACGGUACCGUAAGAAUAAGGAUCGGCUAACUCCGUGCCAGCAGCCGCGGUAAUACGGAGGAUCCAAGCGUUAUCCGGA